rnacentral:lncRNA from 1 species
CCAUCUGUAGGAUAAAUUCCAAGUCGUGGGACUGGUGAUUCAAAGGGCGUAUUUACAGCGACUUUGUUUUUUUAAUUAAUGAAUGUUGAAUUCGAAGAAUUCGUAGGAAGCCCUGAGGGGAACCGAAGCAACUCGCCAAGGCUGCGCUAUUCCGGGUGACGAUUGCAGCAGCCGCUGACAGAGCCAGCGCCAGGGCUGCGCGGGAGGGCCGCACGCCCAGCUCCCCUCACCACUCGGACCCGCGGGAUUCCACCGCGCCUGCCCCCCGCGCCUCUCCCCGCCCCGGUGCGCGGCGCCCCCAGCCCGGAGCUGGAGGACCCAGGCACGUGCGUUUCCACGUGAGCCCCUCGGCCGCCGCGCAAGUGAAGAGUACGCAUGCGCCUGCCGCGGGAGAAAGUAGUGCUCAUCGAUAGUCCUUAUAUGUCUCAAAGAUGUGUGGCACUUCUGGAUCAUGCCCUAAAAGAAAAGAUCAUUUUGCCUUUCCUUCUCUCAUCUGUCUUGGAGGCAAACACAAGGGUGGCAAAUGGAGCAGACCAUGCAGAAAUAGGACCAUUGUCUUGAGGAUGACAGAGCCAUCUACAACUACUGGGCUGCUUGCCUCUGAAUAAUUACAGGAGAAAGGAAUAAAUUUAAAACCUGUUUGAGCCCCUAAACUUUUUGAGUCUCUUUGUUACAGCAUCUUAGACUCUACCUAACCUUUAUUGCACACUUAAAUAAAAUCUGAAG